GACGAACGCUGGCGGCGUGCUUGACGCAUGCAAGUCGAACGGAAAGGCCUGCUUUCCCUUGUGGAUUGCGGGUACUCGAGUGGCGAACGGGUGAGUAACACGUGAGUGAUCUGCCCCCAACUUGGGUAUAAGCCUGGGAAACUGGGUCUAAUUCCCGAUAGGACUGCAGGGUGGUGCCUGUGGUGGAAAACGAUUUUCUAGUGGUUGGGGAUGAGCUCGCGGCCUAUCAGCUUGUUGGUGGGGUAAUGGCCUACCAAGGCGGCGACGGGUAGCCGGCCUGAGAGGGUGGACGGCCACAUUGGGACUGAGAUACGGCCCAGACUCCUACGGGAGGCAGCAGUGGGGAAUAUUGCACAAUGGGCGGAAGCCUGAUGCAGCGACGCCGCGUGGGGGAUGACGGCCUUCGGGUUGUAAACUCCUUUCGACCGCGAGGAAGCCACCUGGUUGGAAGGGUGGUGACGGUAGUGGUAGAAGAAGCACCGGCUAACUACGUG
rnacentral:rRNA from 1 species